UUGAGUAAAUUUGGAAAUCAUUUUCACAUAACACUUCAAGAAGAUAUCUAUACUGUACUUUUUUCAUUAUGAACUGAUUAGUAAUUAAAUAAAACUACUGAAUUAGUAAUUGAUUAUUCAAAUAAAUAUUUGAAUAAUUAUGUAUUUAUGAAUAUAUUUUGCUCAUAAUACUAAAGCCACAUUACUCUUAAAUCAUAUUAAAAAAAAAAUCCUAUCUGCGCUUAUCAGAAAACAUAUACGGCGAUACAAUACAUCUGUGAAAGGCUAAUAUCAGCCGAUAAUUCCGGCACUAAUGUAGGGCCAUAUCGCACUCUUGCUCGUGUGACAUUGCUUAAAUAUAUAUAUAGACACUGCUGUUCAAAAGUUUGGGUUCACUUGACUGAAAUGUUUCUCAUGAUCUUAAAAAUCUUUUGAUCUGAAGGCGUAUGCUUAAAUGUUUCAAAUGAGUUGUGUAGACAAAAAUAUAAUUGUGACAACAUAUUAAUUUAUUUCAUUAUAAAUCUAAAAUGACUUCGAAAAGCAGCCAAUAAGUACCCAACAUAGAUGGGAACUCCUUCAAUACUGUUUAAAAAGCAUCCCAGGGUGAUACCUCAAGAAGUUGGUUGAGAAAAUGUCAAGAGUACAUGUCUGCAAAUUCUAGGCAAAGGGUGACUACUUUGAAGAUGCUAAAAUGAGUUUUGAUUUAUUUUGGAUUUUGUUUAGUCACAACAUAAUUCCUACAGUUCCAUUUAUGUUAUUCCAUAGUUUUGAUGACUUUACUAUUAUUCUAAAAUGUGAGAAAAAUUAAAAUAAAGAAUGAGUAAGUGACCCUAAACUUUUGACCGGUAGUGUGUGUGUGUGUGCGUGUAUGUAUAUAUAUAUAUAUAUAUAUAUAUAUAUACACACACACACAUACAUACACACUCACACACACACACACCGAUGGCUCUAAACAUUAUGAUCACCUCCCUAAUAUACUGUUGGUCCUUCGCGUGCCACCAAAACAGCGUGGACCUGCCGAGGCAUGGACUCUACAAGACCCCUGAAGGUGUCCUGUGGUAUCUGGAGCCAAGACAUUAGCAGCAGAUCCUUGAAGUCAUGUAUGUUGUGUGGUGGAGCUGCCAUGGAUCGGACUUGUUGGUCGAGCACAUCCCAUAGAUGCUCAGUCAGAUUGAGAUCUGGGGAAUUUGGAGGCCAGGGCAACACCUUGAACUCUUCAUCAUGUUUCUCAAAUCAUUCCCGAACAAUGCGUGCAGUGUGGCAGGGUGCAUUAUCCUGCUGAAAGAGGCCACUGCCAUCAGGGAAUACCACUGCCAUGGGCACUCUGAUCAGUCUGUGGCAGGGUGUGAUGCACUGUGUGUUGUGACACAUUCCUCCCGUAACCAUCAUUAAAAUUUUCUGCGACUUGUGCCACAGUAGACCUUCUGUCAGUUUGGACCAGAUGGGAUAGCCUUUGUUGCCCUCAUGAAUCGAUGAGCCUCGGGCACCCAACACCCUUUCACCAGUUUGUGGUUUGUCCCUCCACGGACCACUGUCGUUGUCAUAGGUCUGUACUCCUGCCUAUUUCUCCUGCAUUCACGAUGACUACGAGAAAUGAUUGUUUGAAUACCAUCUAAUCUACACAGACUUUGACAUGUGGCCUUGUUGGAAGAUGAUCAAUGUUAUUCGCUUCACCUUAGGACAAUGCUCCAUGCCACACAUCCAGAUCAAUCAAGGUGUGGAUGAAGGACAACCGGAUCAAGACCCUGUCAUGGCCAUCCCAAUUUGCAGACCUGAACCCCAUUGGAAACCUCUGGAAUGUGAUCAAGAGGAAGAUGGAUGGCCACAAACCAUCAAACAAAGCCGAGCUGCUUGAAUUUUUGUGUCAGGAGUGGCAUAAAUUCACCCAACAGCAAUGUGAAAGACUGGUAGAGAGCAUGCUAAGACCCAUGAAAACUGUGAUUGAAAAUCAGUGUUAUUCCACCAAAUACUGAUUUCUGAACUCUGAAAGUUAAACAUUAGUAUUGUGUUGUUUAAAAAUUAAUAUGAACUUGUUUCUUUGCAUUAUUCGAGGUCUUUUUUGUUAUUUUGACCAGUUGACAUUUUCUGCAAAUAAAUGCUCUAAAUGACAAUAUUUUUAUUUGGAAUUUGAGAGCAAUGUUGUCAGUACGUUAUAGAAUAAAACAAAAAAUGUUCACAUACCAGUAAAUAGUAAAUCCAGAGAAACUGAUAAUUUUGCAGUGGUCUCUUAAUUUUUUCCAGAGCUGUAUAUUAUGAAUAAUUUACUAUAAAAUCAUUACGAUUUGGUUAUUAAUUAUAAUCACGCGUGAAUCUAUUAUUUAAACAAUUUCUUUUUUAUUCUAUAAUAAUAUUUCUGCUAUAUUUAAUAUUGUUACAUUAUUAUAUUAAAAUAAAUAUUACAUUUUAAUAUUUAUUAAAAUAAAUGUAUUAUU